UACAGAGGUCUCAAGCGUUGUUCGGAUUCAUUGGGCGUAAAGGGUGCGUAGGUGGCGUGGUAAGUCGGGUGUGAAAUUUCGGAGCUUAACUCCGAAACUGCAUUCGAUACUGCCGUGCUUGAGGACUGGAGAGGAGACUGGAAUUUACGGUGUAGCAGUGAAAUGCGUAGAGAUCGUAAGGAAGACCAGUGGCGAAGGCGGGCCUCUGGACAGUUCCUGACACUGAGGCACGAAGGCCAGGGGAGCAAACGGG
rnacentral:rRNA from 1 species